rnacentral:rRNA from 1 species
UACAGAGGGUGCGAGCGUUGUUCGGAAUUACUGGGCGUAAAGGGCUCGUAGGCGGCCAACUAAGUCGGACGUGAAAUCCCCAGGCUCAACCUGGGAACUGCGUCCGAUACUGGAUGGCUUGAAUCCGGGAGAGGGAUGCAGAAUUCCAGGUGUAGCGGUGAAAUGCGUAGAUAUCUGGAGGAAUACCGGUGGCGAAGGCGGCAUCCUGGACCGGCAUUGACGCUGAGGAGCGAAAGCCAGGGGAGCAAACGGG